GCCCUGGUGGCGCAGUGGUUAAAUGCCUGCACUGCAGACAAGGUUGCAAGUUCAAUACUAGCCCAGGGCU